UUGGGGCGAGAUAAAGUUCGCCGGGUCCGCUAGUUGUUUUAUAUUGAAGCAAUCGUACAAAUUAAGAAACGAUUUUUACAAUGAUUCGUCUUUUUUAAACCCGAAAUAUGCCAAUGACUUGCACCCUACAUCAUUGUACGAAAUCGCGAAGAAUUACAUUCCAUCGCAUAUUACUGUGGAUUUAACAGAGCUGGACAAGGAAUGGAGAAAACAAAGUCUCUUGGCGAUACGGAUUGUAACGAUUCCAUAGAUACUGUAGACUAUUGGAAAAAAAUGUUUGAAAAAAAUAAUGUUGACGGCAGACGCAAAUUCCUUCAACUGCCCAUUUUGGUAAACUAUUUUAUGUCACUGCCUUUUUCAAAUGCUGCAGUUGAACGAUUAUUUGGUGAUCUAAAAAAUAUUAAAACGGAUAAACGCAAUAGGCUGGAUAAUGAAACGGUUGCAUCAAUUCUCUGUGUAAAAUCUGGCUUAAAAAGAACGGGAACAACUUCUGUACAACUAAUGAAAAAUCAGUUGGAAAUACCACACCUUAAGUUUGUACAGUCCAAUGCAACUGCAAGCGAAUCAAAAGAAAUUAGACUUAGUAUCAAUAAAGUGUAAUUAAACGAUUCGUGUUUUAUAGAAAUAUAUGAAACCUGGAACUGUAUAUUAUCCUUUUAUUCCAAGUCAAUUUACGCUAUCAGCGCACACAUUUCAGCAUAGAAUAAUAUUUUAGGCCUUAAACAGAAUGGAAAUAAGGAAUAUUACAUGCGAUUUCUUAAAGGACCUAAAUGAGGCAGAUUUAGCGUUCCUCUUCAAAAACAGAAGGCUGGGAGAAAAAAUACGAUUUAGAAAGAAGCUUCUGGAAUGGAGAAAACAAACUAAAGCAGCUUCUGGAAUGGAGAAAACAAACUAACACCAAUACUCUAGAUAAAGGUCUUGAUUAUAGUCUAGAUGUGAAUCUUCCAAAAAGUUCAGAGAAUGCUAGGGACACUAUUGAUUUGAUUGAAAUUUUGUGUGAGCACUGCUCUGGAGAGUACGUGAUACGCAUAUUUAAGGAAAUACAAAAACUGCAUGACACUUCCAGAAAAAUACUCAUUGAAGCCACGAAUAUCAAAAAAUAAAAAUUAUAAUUUUACCAAUACUUUAAGGGCACCAAAUACAAAAAAGGGUUUUUUAUAUUAUCUAAAAAUAUGAUUUUUUAUAAAAUAGAAGAAAUUUUAUUUUUAAAUGAGAAGGAAUUUGCAUUUGUCUAUCUUAAAUAUAAUAUAGAGAUAUUUAAUGAACAUUUAAGAUCAUUUCAGAUUAACGCAAUAGACCAAAUCGAUUUUAUAUUUCCUGAAGACAUAUAUAAAAGUCCAUUACAUGUGCAUAAUAUAGAAAAACUAUAUAUAAGGCCAAAAUAUUAUUAAUUAAGAACAUAUAUUCAAUAAGAAACCAAUAUAUACUUUAA